rnacentral:rRNA from 1 species
AGUGAACGCUGGCGGUAGGCCUAAUACAUGCAAGUCGAACGACAGCACAAUAAGAGCUUGCCUUUGCGGUUGGCGAGUGGCGGGCGGGUGACAAGUAGAUCGGAAUCUAAUUUUUCGUGGGUAAUUACGGAAGGAAACUUACGCUACUACCUCAUACGACCUACGGGUGGAAGCAGGAGUUCUUCAGACCUUUGGCGUCUCAUUGAGCUGAUGUCGCAUUAGCUAGUUGGCGGGGUAAGGUCCCACCAAGGCGACGAUACGUAGCUGAUCUGAGAGGAUGAUCAGCCACACUGGAACUGAGACACGGUCCAGACUCCUACGGGAGGCAGCAGUGGGGAAUAUUGCACAAUGGGCGAAAGCCUGACCCAGCAAUACCGCGUGAGUGAAGAAGGUCUUCGGAUUGUAAAGCUCUUUUGUUGGGAAAGAAAAACAGCAGGUUAAUACACCGCCGUUUUGACGGUACCCAAAGAAUAAGCAACGGCUAACUUCGUG